AUGCAAGUCGAGCGGACCUGAUGGAGUGCUUGCACUCCUGAAGGUUAGCGGCGGACGGGUGAGUAACACGUAGGCAACCUGCCCUCAAGACUGGGAUAACUACCGGAAACGGUAGCUAAUACCGGAUAAUUUAUUUUGCAGCAUUGUGAAAUAAUGAAAGGCGGAGCAAUCUGUCACUUGAGGAUGGGCCUGCGGCGCAUUAGCUAGUUGGUGGGGUAACGGCCCACCAAGGCGACGAUGCGUAGCCGACCUGAGAGGGUGAACGGCCACACUGGAACUGAGACACGGCCCAGACUCCUACGGGAGGCAGCAGUAGGGAAUCUUCCGCAAUGGGCGAAAGCCUGACGGAGCAACGCCGCGUGAGUGAUGAAGGUUUUCGGAUCGUAAAGCUCUGUUGCCAAGGAAGAACGUCUUCUAGAGUAACUGCUAAGAGAGUGACGGUACUUGAGAAGAAAGCCCCGGCUAACUACGUGCCAGCAGCCGCGGUAAUACGUAGGGGGCAAGCGUUGUCCGGAAUUAUUGGGCGUAAAGCGCGCGCAGGCGGUUCUUUAAGUCUGGUGUUUAAACCCGAGGCUCAACUUCGGGUCGCACUGGAAACUGGGGAACUUGAGUG
rnacentral:rRNA from 1 species